rnacentral:rRNA from 1 species
GAUGAACGCUAGCUACAGGCUUAACACAUGCAAGUCGAGGGGCAGCGGGAUUGAAGCUUGCUUCAAUUGCCGGCGACCGGCGCACGGGUGAGUAACGCGUAUCCAACCUUCCGUACACUCAGGGAUAGCCUUUCGAAAGAAAGAUUAAUACCUGAUGGUAUGAUGAGAUUGCAUGAUAUCAUCAUUAAAGAUUUAUCGGUGUACGAUGGGGAUGCGUUCCAUUAGGUAGUAGGCGGGGUAACGGCCCACCUAGCCAACGAUGGAUAGGGGUUCUGAGAGGAAGGUCCCCCACAUUGGAACUUAGUGCCGAACAAACCUCCUACGGGAGGCAGCAGUGAGGAAGAUUGGUAAAUGGCCGAGAGUUUGAAACAGCCUAGUAGCGGGAAGGAAGACGGCCCUAGGGAGUGUAAACUUCUUUUAUAAGGGAAUAAACACCCCCACGUGUGGGAGCUUGUAUGUACCUAAUGAAUAAGCAUCGGCUACCUCCGGG